CCGCCGCUGCCGCCGGGACAGCCGGGAAAGGAAGAGGAGAGCGGCCGGAGGAGGAGCGGCUGGUGGCGGCUGGAGCAGCGGCAGCUGAGCGCUAUGGAGGCGGAUCUGCUUGGCCAUCCGCGGGCAGAGCGGGAGCGAGACACAUCGGCUGAGGAAUUGGAUAAGUUUCACAGGGAAUGAAGCUGUAUGAGCAAGGUCUGAAAAUAGCCAUGCUUGCAAUAUCUGCACCCCUUCCUGAAGAUAUACAAGAAAUAAAGUGUUUCAUCACUGUAUCCCUCUUGCUGUCAAAGGCACAAGAUAAGUUUAUCCUUUUAGAGUCUCACCGCCUUACUGUUGUACAAAAUGGAUUCUUAAAACUGUGUAGAAAGGAGUUUUCGUGGCCAGCUCUUCACCAGCCCCUUUUAGCACCCAGGAUAACAGUCAGGACUCCUCCAAAACAGGGAUUUUUGCACCAGUGACUCAGAUUUGUUCCGCUUCAUGUUUUUUGUGACUGAAGUUCCACUAUAGACCAUCUGUUAUGGCCGCUCAGGCAGCUGUACAGGCUCACGUCCACGCUGAUGUUCUGUCUGCUUGUUACAUAGAAACUUAUCAACCAGGAUUGCUAAACAGAUAAUAGUGUGUGAGACCUGCUCUGCUGAGCAAUAAACAUAAAUGGAUUUAACCGGAGCUUGUAAAUGUUUCAGGAAACACACGCAAUGUGUAUUUGUCUACAAUAAGGGUCAUAUCAUAGUCCAUAAAGAUCUCCUGUAAGUCAAAAGGAGAGUUAUCAGUGGGCCUAUGGGAUUAGUUCAGAUAUUCCCUGGACCGAUACUAGUAAGCAAGAAAAGAUGUGAUGUCCCCAGAGAACUCAUUAUUCAGGCCAGCGGGAAGAAAGACCAGAAAGAGAAAAUGUUAUGGAGGAAGCAGCAGAGCUGUUUGAAGGGGCAAAUCGGUGUGUGAACAAGGCUUUUCUUAUGCAUCUUCUAAUCUAUCUUCAGAAUAGUGCAUCCGAGUAACCGUCCUGCUCCAUCAAUUUAAUUAAAACAGCACGAUCUGACCUUUUUUGUUUACUUUUGAAUCAAACUUUUCAUGUUCAAAACAAAAUUUAUUUCAUCUGUUUAUGCUGCAGUUGAUUUCUGUUUCUUAUGUGUCAUAUUAUGGAGGGGAGUGGUACGUCCAGUUUUGGGGCAGUGUUUAUAACCAGUGCCAAAUCUCAGAUACUUGUGCUGCUUGCACUGUGAUGACCUCAGGAACUGAAUUCCCAAUACACAUUUGGGAUAAGGAUUUUAGGGUCACAGACACAACUACCUGAAUGGGAACCAAUUCUUCUCUGUUUAUAGACACUGCGUAACUUGAAGUCUGUUUCUGUAGUCGAGGUGGUAAGAUAAAUGGGAUCUCACUCCCCUCUGCAGCUGGUCAGCUGCCUCCUCCUAGCACAACAAGCCUCGCUGCUUUCACUUAUUCCCCAAUUACCUUUUUUGUUCUUUUUCUGUUGUUGAAUCCUUCCCCUCCCCCAGUUCUUGACUUGCCUUCUAGCCCCAGGCGCUCCUUUAGGCUCAGUUUUCCAAGCUUUUUGUUAACUUCCCUUCUCUGCCAGUUUCACUCUGCUGUGCUUCUGGCGGUGCAGUGUCUUCCUCACUGAUGUCUCCAGCUGUCACUCCUUGGCCUCUGGAGGUUUGAGGUUCCAGAAAUCCCUGCGUUCUGAGGGCACCGCCUGUGGGGCUGCCUCUGGGGGCUGAAAGCAAACGUGGAAAUAGGGCAGCAGCCCAUGUGCUUUGUUGUCCCCUGUACAACUGGGGUAUGCCUGAAUCCACAGCUCUCCUUCCAUUUCUUCUUCCGUUUCUUUGCUUUUGGAUCAAGCCUCCUCAUCUCCUAAUUUAAAGUCACUGAAGAUGAGCACCCUCUGGUCUGGUCCAGCUUCCUACAUCACCACGCUCCAAAAGGAACAUAAUGGAUACAACAGCAGUGUGUGGUUGAGGUGUCCAACACUACUCCAAGUGCGUGAACUUUUGCUUCCCAAAUCUCCAGCGAGGUACCUACCAGUUUCAUUCCCAAACUGGGUCCUUCUUCAUGGUUCUAAAAUCAGGUGAAUUGAGAUUUCCAGAAAGUACAGAAGAACUGAAGACCGAGUAGGCCAAGGCAGAAUAAUUUAGUUAUAAAAGAGAGCAAGAAAGUAUUCCUGUUGCAUCUUUCUCAACUCUGCCUUCUUUGUUCUAUAGCACAGCUUUAACCUAUUAGAAGCUUCUAAAGCUUUUAAAUGAUAGCAAAUCAAUCAUACAAUGGCUAGGAAUGGAAGGGACCUUAAAGAUCAUCUCACUCUAAACUUGGGAAAAAAUAAAGGUGUUCAUUUAUAUUCUGCAGCUCAACUCAGCAUUGUGGGGAAUGUUUAACAUCAGAGGGUUUGAAACCACUUAAAUGCAUUUAAAAUAUAAGUCCUAAUGGGUUCCAAAGCUUGCAAUACAAAGGUAGAUAGAUAGAGGAAGGAAGCGUAGAGGUGCCAGGGGCAUCUCCAUAGAGCUUUGGAACAAACUGUUGCAGGAGCAAAGAUACUUUGAAAGAAAUGGCUGAGUGCUGGUUACAGCUAUAAACACAAAUCCUCAUGGGAGUCUGCUGCAUCAGCAGGACUGCCCUCACGCUGAGCAAAACAAAGUCAAGAGUUUGGGAAGGAGCUGUGUGUUUCCCAGCCUUAAAUUCUGAGAAAAAUAAUAGACAAAGGCAUGGCAGGAGGAAGAAUACUAUAAAUAAACUGCAGCAGAGGCAGGAAUGGAGCAGGAGGAUAAGCUUAGUUCACUGAGUGAUGGAUGUGGUAAAGACAGCUUAAGAGACUGCAAUUAGUAUAGGCCAUAAAGUAUGAUUUCUCUGCGUGGAAAAAUCAAGAUCUGGAGCAACUUGGAGCAACACUAAACUGGAGAUAAGAUUACAGUGAAGGAAAGGGUCUUAUUUCAAAAAGAAAGAAGGGAAGAAACAGGCAGGUAAGCAAAAUCCUUUCUUUCCAUACAAGAAAAAAUGAUUCUUUGGCUGUUUCCUGCCCUGGAGGUUGUCCUCCUCUGCAUCCACUGUAAGCAAGGGAGAGCCAUAAGCACUACGGUACAGACACAAGUCAGUGCUGCUGCCCACUCACUGGCUGGCAGAUAUUGCAGUAGGAGCAUUACCUGGAGAGGAAUCUAUGAAUACUGAAAUAGGAAGGCUGGGAAAAGGAAAGUUAUAAGAGCAUUUUCUGUAGUCUAAAUACAUUGUCGAGGUUAAGCAAAUAGAGUAAUUUUACCACUGAGAAAAUUACGUGAACAGGGAGAGAUCUGCACAGGAAUUACAGAUGCCAUAUAAAUGACAAGCAAGAAAGGAAUCGUCUUCAAAUGGGAAUGGGAACAAGAGCUGAAACCGUAAAGCUGUGAAUCCUAGAAAAAUGCAGGAAUUGAUCAGAUUGAAAUAGAAAAUAGCAGAGACCAGCUUAAUAUCCUGACUAAGCAGACAGCACAAAAAUAGAGAACCAGAACAAGAAUAAAAGUGGUUUUUCAGCAACUGCUGGAAGUUUAAAGACUUAGUUGAAAAACUGAGAAUUUCUCACUUUAAAUGAGCACAUUGAUAGAAGUGAUUUCUUUGGAAACACUGACAAUUUGUAUUCAAGCCUCUGCUGCAUGUGAUGACAAAAAGAGACUAGAAUGUUAAGGUUAGGAAAGAAAUGGAGUUAAAUGGGGAACAUCACUGUACAAUCCAUCAUACAUCCUUAUUCUCAACUGCGCAUAAUGAGGUACAGAUUGUAUUCAGAAAAAAGAAUACAGAGAAGGCAAAGAAAAGAGAUGGCCUGAUGCAAUUGCUAUACAAGGAGGGGAUUAAUAUACUGUAAAUCUUGGACUUGCAGGAAGAAAUGCUGGUAUAGUUUGGCAGAGGUCUGUCAGUAUCAUUGAUGGAGAAGAGAUGGUGAAUGAAUGACUUUCACAAUGGUUUUGUAUUAUUUGAUCUCGAAUUAUCUGGCAAGGUGAAAUACUACAAACUUCCACAUCCCGUUACAUUGGCAAAAGGUGUAAACAAGUUCAAAAAUGAAAAUGUGAUGAAGGACACCCAGGAGAUUAGAUUGUCCUUGUGCUCAAACAGGAUAGUGUAAUUGCAACAUACAUUACAUAUACAAGGCAUUAAUGAGUUUGGAAGCUUAUUUGGCACUAGAUAAAAACGCAGCACGAUGAGCUUUACAAAUCUCUUACACAGAGAAGUCCAGACACCAGAUUAAGAAUAAGGCAACUCAGUAAAUAUAGAGGAAUUUGAACAAGUAUAAGAUCUGUGACGUGUUAGGAUAAGAUUUGGCAUAUUAAAUAAUUAAGUGGCUACAUUGACGUGUUAUUCAAUCCCUAUAUUUACAGGGUUUUCAACAUUUUUCAGUGCCAGGGUCUCCAAAAGGAUUUAUAUCGAGAAGGUAUAACCAAGACUUGAAUGAGAACAGAUCAAAAAUAGCAUUGAGGUAAAACAUCUACUGCUGAUACGUAUUGAAUUUUAUUUGAUUUACAAUACUCCACCUUCUUCUUUGUUGCCAAAACCAACAGUAGCUGUUGCUUAUGCUGUUUGCCAGCAUCUCCAUCUGCAUCUUUGGUUACUUGUCGCUUUCUUGCCGAUAGCAUUUGCAGCAGUCUGCCUUCAUCUCUGAAUUCCAUUUUGGGGUGUUCAUCUACAUGAACCUCAUACUUGUACCACAUGGGUUUAUUCAGAAGCUGGACCUUUCCUUACCUGAUUAUUCUUUUUGGAAUGACUUCCAUAAAGCACCCAGGAAAACAGUGAGUUUUGUCUCCAAGUUUGUUUCAGAUCUUCGCCUGACCUCUUUUCUGCGCCUGGUAAGUGUUUGUGUAUUUGGGUGCAUGCAGAUCUAUUUGUAAGGCUUUCAAUCAAAAUUGCUCAAGUUCAAUUUAUACAAAUGCUACAUUUAACAAUUUUUUUCGCUGGGGCUUAAAUGUCCCAGUUGUCUUAUUAGUGCUGUGACACGUCUGCUCAUAUGAGGCACAUCCACUGCACAUCUCAAUAAAAGUAAACAUCCUGUGUUUCUCAGCCUUCUCUAAACCCCAGCAGAUGGCUGCUACUUUUACACACUGCGCUCAAUAGAAUGGCUCACGUUUCCCUUGCAAGAGUCUUAUUUCUGGAAUCCAAACCCAGUGUAAUUCUUGCAGUUUGGAACACAGAUGAAGGCACAGAUCAGUGGAGCCGCAUCAGUCCCACAUGCCGACUCCUCGUAGCUCAGAUCCGCUCGCUUUUCAGAAUGGAUGUACAGGGGAACAUACCUGGUAUUUCUGAUCCAUCCAAAGAUACAGGAUGACCAGUAAUGGCUUCCACAUGUAUGCCCUUGAUCGCCAAACCUGAAGGUCCCUUGUGCUAUACAUCUGUCAGAACCUUUCAUGUUCUUUGUGGGUUUCUUUUCCCCAGAGAGUAAGUGUUUUUUGGAGAUAGAGGAUAUUCUUAGAAUGACUGGAUUUCACCUUAAUGCUCAGAGCCAGUCCCUGCUCAGGAUACUGUCAGAAUCUAUGGGAGAUACCGUGCAUUUUUGCUCCCUUACCUAACGCUCAGCAGACAUAUGCCACAGGCGUGUGGCUUAGCCUGAUCUUGCAGCAGCGCUACACUGAUGUUAUCUGUUCUUACCCCCAUCCAGGAAUCAAGGGCACUUCAGUGCCUGUGUGAAUUAGCAGCAGUGCCAGCUUGAGACUUUACCCUGCAUGCGCAAAGGGGGUGUGCUCUUCUGGACCUUACAGACUAUUUCUAUUAUUGCCUGGAAGAUUUUCGGUGAGCUACACAACUGUUAUGUAGUGUCUGUAGGCCCUAAAAUUAUGCCAUUUGUUUAGGUAUGUUUAUGGCAGGCUUAACUCUGGAGAAUUAAGGUCUUUACACUUUUCCUCCAAAUACACUGUCGUUUGCAUUGUAUCACUUCAUGCUUAGCCAACCUGUCCUUCAGCUCACUGUCUGAUCGCUUCUCAGUGACCCCAAAGGCAAGAACUGUGAAACCAGAGACAUGAAAGGUUUCUCACCAGAAUUCUGGUCGUGGCGAUGGCACUUCUGAUAUAACUCCCAAUAGUGGUAACAUCCUCUUGGAGCAGUUUUUCUGUUGAUCAACAUGUCAGACUGGUUUAAGCUGAGACUCUUCAGUCAGCCUUGCAAUGUUUCCUGGAAGAGAGGAUCCCUGGGUGGUUAAUAUCCAUUUUCCCAUUAAUGGGACUAAGUGUCAUUGACUGGUGUACACAGACAAAGGGUUUCUUGAAAGGGAUGUGUUGGCUUUUCGUUUUGCUUUGUUUGACAAGAAGUUCUGCUCAGAAAAAUCAACGCUACACAAAAAAAGCAGCCUAUCAGCAUUUCCCAGUACAUAUAGCAGAGAUUCCAUUUGCUUUACCUACACACACAUCCUGCCCUCGGAAAGAUGGGGACUGAGAUCAGAUGAACGAUAAAAGUUGAUUCACUCUUCUGCCUUUUCAAUAAAUGAUGGUUUAUGCACAAGUGUGCUUGGGUAAAUACAUCAGUAAUGUUACCAGAGGUCACGAGGCAUCAAAAUCUGUUAUUCCUUACAUAGAAACCUGCAUUCAAGUGUGACCCAAGCCAGUAGAUAAUACAUGAUUUCUACAGAUAUUUGUUACAUUGAGGAGGAAAAGGCCAUUUAGAGCCUUACAAAUUUCAAGUGAGAGAGAAACUUUGUAUGAAAAUGCUCAUUAUAACCAGAGCUUCGUACACAUGCUGUGAGAAGCCCAUAUAAACACACACAACCUCUCACCCUUUUACUCCAUAUUCAUACACAGAUCCUACAAUCUAUAUAUCACCUACAUCCAGCUCCUUUUCUCUCCCCAGUUAAUUUCUAAGUACUGUGCACGCUUUACACUAUGCUGAAAUCUGUUCUAGCCGGUCAGGCUAUGCUGCUGCUACAAAGGAUGAAAGCAAGGUCAAGCUAAUCAAGCCCAAGAGGAUAGCAACCCAUGUGGCUAUUAAAGAAGGUUACAUAGGCUCAGAGUUGUCAGGAGAGACAUACAAACAGCUCCUCACGAGUGUAAAUAAGGCAGAUUCAAACGUGUUUAAUUGUGCAUGCCUGUCUCAAAAUCUGGCUCAUCCUUAUUCUUUCCAUUUCUCACUCAGGGUCAUCAGUGCCUGAAAACACUGAUACACCAAGGAAGCCAAUUCCCUGUGGGAGCAUGACUGUGCUCCACACACAGAAAUUUCCCCUUCUGUCACUUGGCGGAGUUCAGUAUGUGACUUGCUAAUUCAAAAUAUAAACAGAGAGGAACCAGGGCCAAUAGUUGAAGAGCUGCAAGCAGAAUUCUCAGUCCUUCCCAGUAAGUGAGUGAUACCUCCCUUCUGGAACGAUUAUCCAUUUCUCUGUUGUUGGGGUUUUUUUUAGCUUAACCAGAACUGCUUCUUUGGAACUUAGGAGGAAAUGGGAGAAGUGCCAUCCUGAAACACACGUUUCAGCCUGAAAAAACAAAGCACUCAAUGUCUGCAGUGCAUGGUAUAUAAUUUAACAGGCAAGUUUCUCUCAUCCUAUAGUUCUUUUGUUCCCAUGAAUUGCUUAUUUCCUUUCUUACCCUCUAUCAUUUUCUCCCAUAACUUUGUUGUUCUUUAACACCUCUUAAUUAUAGUAUGAAAUACAUAAGCAUGCAUUUAAAUAUAUCUCAGUUCCUGCUGCUCUCAUCCUGGUUACAACUGCAAUUUAAAAACCUUGCACAUAUUUAAGCACCAGUCAUCGAGCUUCUAAGGAGGAAAAAACUUUCCUUUAUGCCUCUGCAAGUUUUUCCUUCACUUCCAUGUGUCGGGGUGCACGAGGCCUGCUGCAGCUCUGCAGGCUUUGCCUGAAAAUGGACAAGAAAAUAAAACCUCCCUGUUAAACAAACGGAAAAUACACUAAGAGUACAGACUGAUGUCUUCUGAAAGCCCAACUUAGGACACUGCCUUUCCUUUGGUUCUUCAUCGAACCUGGUGAGCGUUGACUCCCUCCCAGCAUGGCAGUGAACUUCAGCAGGAGGCAGUAAUGAUGUCUUAGCAGCGUAUCUUCUUUCCCCUCCUGCAGCAAGAUUGGGACUCGAUUGGGGGUUGGACUCGAUGAUCUCUGGAGGUCCCUUCUAACCCCUGUGAUUCUGUGAUUCAUUUCAGAGCCAAGCUUGGAAAGCUCAGGCCAGCAUUUACAUGUUAAGGGAGCUGGUUUCAUUCUAUAGGCGUUUGAAUUUGAAGUUCAGAGUUAGUAUUUCAAAUUAAGGAAAGCUGAUAAUUUAUGGUAAUACAGAGGGCAUGAUGCCUUUAAUAGAAUUAUUAAGCUGAAUUAAUGAGUGAUUUUGUUUUUCAGUAGGGAGAAAGAAAAGGGAGUAGAAUGCCAUGAAAGUCAGUACUCCUAUCCACAGAACUAACAAACCAGUUCUCCUGAUAUUUUUCAGUGAAAUAAUGUUGAGAAGAAAACAGAGAAUUUAUCAGGGUUGAACCUCAAUGCUGCAGUAAAUGAGCAGCUCUCAGCAGUUGGCCAUCCUGAGUCUAUUGGUGUAUAUUCAGAUGUAAUGUCUUACAGACAGAUGGGACUCUGAUGGACCAGAGAUGGUUGCAGUCCUUCCAUGCUCUUUAUGAGCUUAUUUUCCUGAAGCCUUCCCAUACACACAGGAGCUAUCGAACGUGCCAACUGCUAUCAACUGUACCAUUCGGUGGGUGCUAGAACUUGCCAUCUGCCCGCUCCAGAAUCUCAGCUCUGAAAGCAAAGCUUCCAUUGCAACACAAAGAGAAAACUCUCUCUGUGCAGCUGUUGGAGGACUGACACAGGCUGCCCAGAGAGGUUCUGGAGUCUCCUCCUUGGAGACCUAAAGCCACCCAGACAUGGGCCUGGCCUGCUCCGGGUCUCGCUGCUGGAGAAAGGGGUUGGACAAGCUGGACCUACGUUUGUCCACAGCUUAGAAGCUCAAGAAGGCUCAUUUUGGCAGAUAUUUUACUUAUUUUGGCAAACAAAAGAUGGAACAAAAUAAAAUAAAUGCCCCAAGGCCCUUUAAGAAUAUUAGUACAUAAACAGUAAUCAAGCUCAGUAAUGCGAUCAAGAGCUAUUGUGAAAGCUAUUAUCUAUUAAUCACAGUUUAGUCACUCAAGGUUGAUUUCAGAGCAACUUUCUGCCAACAUCCCAAACCAGCUACACUUCAUCCUAGCUGAAGUUGCCUUCAAAUGGCUUUCUAGAUUAGGCUUUGGUAAUUCAGGCUGCAGAUUACAAUACAUUAACAGCCCCUUUAACAGCCAUAGCAGAUCCUACCUGGAAACUGAGACUGAGGAAAUAAAAGCACAAGUUCUUGGUUCUGAAAUAGUCAGAAGCAUUUUACCUUUUUGCUUCUGGAACGGAGACAGACGUUCUAAUUGACAUGUCUGGUCAUCGGGAGCAGCCAAAUUCAGGAACUCCAAGAACACCAUAAGAGAACAACAGUGAUUUCCCCACAUCCAGUUGGCUGGCAGCAAAGAGGAGCAAUCCCAAGAGUGCCCAGCACAGACCAAAACCAGCAUGAAGCGUUUCUGUUCCCAAUUCUACAAAAGUCCUUUGUCACUUUGGGAAAGUUCCUUUAACAUCGUUUCAUGUCACACUCGUUCCCUCUGAAAGCAGCUGCUAGAGAAAGUUCUACAGGCUGGAGUCAGACUUGGACUAGAUUAAUGCACGAUGCUGAGCCUACCAGCACACCAAAGUAAGUAGUCAUGUUGCAAGGCAACUAACACUUGGAUUUAUUCCAGGUAAUAUUGGGGAUGGGGUGCAGCCCAAAUGGUAGAGGAAAAAGGACAGAAAACUGUUGUAUCAUUUAGUCUGGUAAGGGAUACAACUCAUUUCUCAAAAAAUAACAAAGUCCAGUCUUAUUCCAGUGCCUUGGAAACACUGGGGAAAACAUCAGCAUACAAAUGUGUACUCCAAGUGUUUAGGCAGUGCUGAAUUGAGACGUGUAUCAGGCUGAGUUAACCAGAGACAGGGGGACAUUCAGAAAUCAUCAGUCCUAGAUGAAAAGUGCAUUAGGUCGUUCUCUUUUACAUGGCUACUUCCUAAGUGUCCCCUUCACAAAGCACACUUACUUAACAGUGGGUUCAUGGUAAAAGGGAAGCAGUUAACAGCACCAGCACCACUUCCUUUGCAAGGGUUCCCCCAGCAGCGCAGCCACCCCAUGCAGCACCGGUACAGCUGGCAGUGUGCACUGAGAAACAUCUUCAGCCUCCCCAUAGUAAAGACAUUGAAUGACUGCAGCUACUUAAGACCUGCCCUGGUUUCUAAGGAAGAUUUUAAGGGCACUGUCAGCGGCUUUAGUGCAUUAAAUACAACAGCAGUAAUCUGCCAGUAACCAAACAGAGCUGGCAGGAAAGCACCAUGGGUUUGUCAGACUUCAGUGAAAUGAAGCACUUGUUCUGCCAUCUCUGUUCCUUACCAAAUCACAGCAGCACUCCAGCACAGCCUUCACACAUCUCAUGUUGUUAACCCAACUGUGCGUGGCAAUAAGAGCCACUGCUGUUCAUAAAACACUCAGAAACACAGCAAGCAAAUAGAGUUCAGCAGUGGUCAGAAGGCAACAGCCUUUACACACCCCAUCAGCUCUGACUUCAGCCUCCUCUUCUGCAUCCAUUCCAUUCCUCAGGCUCCAUAGAACAGUAUUUGAGUUGGAAGGGACCUUUAAAGGUCAUCAAGUCCAGCUCCCAUCUAAUGAAGAUGAGCAGGAACUUGCUAUUCACCUUCCACUCUUUGGCUCUUCAACAACAAGCUACAAAUAAAAACCCAUCAGGAUUGCUUCAGCUUCACCCCCAGCAAGGAGCCUUCAUGUAACUUUGCCUUGGGGCUACUUGGGUCACAGCCUGGAGCCCCUGUCUCUGAAGAGGUUUCUCCCACUUGCAUCCAACCCAACCCACAGUGCAAGGUGAGCACGUAGGAACAUGGCUCUGAAGGCAGCUAGCAGCACUACUGACACAGGGAAGAGUUCCUGGGGGAAAGUAAAGAUAAAUGCCAUUUCAUAUCGCUCCCUAUAAGCUGGGAUUCUAUUCAUAAUGGUUCUCAAGAACGUUCUGCUCAUGAAAUGCACAGUAAUGAAACCAUCUUGGCAAAAGGAGAACACAUACAUACUAAAUGCUGCAUUUGUCACACACCUAAUUUGAGUUCUAAGGGCCUGAAGUUUUAAUUUUAAGCAACUCUGUAGCAUACCUUGAAAAGGGAGGGGGGUUAUUUUUAGUCAUACUGGAGAUAAUGGAAAAAAACCUCAAAUCCUGUCUAAAAUCUGGGAAAAAAUAAGCGUUCAAUGUCAGAACACCAUUUCCUUCCAGAACGUUACCAAUGGUUUAUUAUUCCAAGUGUAUAUUUAGAAUAUUCCACUUUCAUAGUUGCUUUAAUAUCAACCACGUUCAAACAUUUCUGAUCGCUGACUGAUCGCCUCCAUAAGCAAAUCCCAGGCUCCCACACCUGUUCCAUUACACCGAGUGCUCGGAGCAUCCUUCCCAUGUGUGCACACACACACGUGGACCCUUGGCACGUUUCUUAGGCACACACAGUGCUCUACAUGGAGAACACGUGGCCCAAGAUGUCAUCAGAGCACAGCCCUGCUUUUAGAGCACUCAAUAACGUCCCUGCAGCAGGUGAUUAACAAUGCAAGUUUAAAACUGUGUGUUUCAUGUUCCUUUGGUGCUGAGCAGCUCUUGUGCCAUGAGUUGGAAACCAAACACCAAUAAUGGUUCUCCCUGUUCUCCGUUAUAUGUCACCUACGUGAUUCUUCUUCAUCCCCCCCAUACUUUGGAUGGACCAACUGAACGUUCUGGUUUGUACCCACAUUAGGUAACGCUGUCAGCUUUCUUCUCUGAGGUUUUGUUGGAGGUAUCAGGAACAGGCAGAGGACAAGGAACAGCUGCGUGGUGGCUCAGCUGUCCAGGCAGCGUGGAAAAGGCGUUAAGAACUUCGGGGGGGGGGGUUAUAUUUUGCAAACAAAAGGAAGCUCAUUUCCUUUGUUAGCUCAGCAGAGCCUUAGGUGCAAAAUCACACCUGGAGCUCACAAGAUACCUUUACUUAUGUCUGAAUCUACCAAAUUUCUCCAUAGAGAUAUCUGAAAAACGUUUGAUUUUUCCUAUACAAAAUACGACAGAGCUUUUCUGAACUGCUUCAUCAAGCAAAGUCUGGAUAGAACAGUCAAACUGCCCUUCGUAUUGCAGCAGCAGUUAACCCUCCCCAUGCUGACUGCCACUGAAAUAAAGCCAGUGAUCAGCAAGUGAGCUUUGCAUAUUGCACACACCUGCAAGGAACCACAGGUACUUACACUGUACCUCAUCUCAAUGCAGCCCUGGGACAUUGCAACAGCUUAGGAAAUAAAUGGGCACAAAUUUGUGCUCAUACUGCGUCCCUUUAUCACCUCCAUACUUUCUACUUCCCACUGUUCCUCCUGAUCCCUCAUUUCUCAGUCCCAAGUCAACACAGUUCACCAAGUUUGUUGUUACAGUGAAGCCCUGAGGCUUCCUUCAACUCCAUCCCACUAAUUGCUGUUAGAGAACACUGGUUAAGGUACGGUCACUUCCAGGCAUCUUACCUGCUACUUGUGUGUGUGUUCAGGUGGUUUGAAUCUGAAUCUGAAACAGCGAACACCACCAUGCGUCACACUCCUAAGAGCUCAGCUCCUCUGAUAAUUAACAGUUCCUGGAUUAAAAACAUCAAGGAAAUUGAACUGUGGUUCUGCAUUUGUGCUUCAGCUUUAGUUUGGUGUACUUCUCAGUACUGAUCACACCAGGUGUACUGCUCACAAUGCAGCAGUCCUCUGGUGAUGGACUGAAAUUGUGGUUGGGGUUUUUGUUUGUUUCUUGUGACAUUUAAUAAAUACUUCACCUCCUCAACUGAUUUAAAUCAGCACAGAGAACUACCCUGAAUUCCACCUGAGCAUUUCUCACUACCUGUUCUGAGUUCCUAUAGCACAAGGCUGCUCCAACACCACCCUUAGGGGAUUUUUUUAGCAGCAUCAAAUCUUGAUUCCAAACAUGAGAGGGUAAGAUUGAUAUAAGGCCACAGAUGGAGCCCUGCACAGCCUGAGCUGAUGGGAGGCGCCCCAUCCCCAGCAGGGUACAAGAACUGGGUUGUCCUUAAGGUCCAUUCCAACCCAACCCAUUCUAUGGUUCCAUAAGACUGACAGGUCCCUCCCAGCUGGUUGUCGCCACACUCAUUGUCUCCUUUUUCCAUGUCUCAGGACACCCAGUGGUGCCUGCACAGUAGAGGCUGCAGUAGUGGCUCAGCCCGUGUCUCUCCUCACUGCCACAAGUUAAGGAAGAAAACCUGUGAGCAGACAGCUCCUGCCUCUCCUGCACGCUUCACUGCUGAAUUGUUCAUCCCACAGACAAACAGGAACUGGCUUUUAUGCUUGAAGGGUGUUUAUAUUUUGCAUAAUUUAGUGACGGCCCUAUCCUGCUUCCAUCGAGCUC